GACGAACGCUGGCGGCGUGCUUAACACAUGCAAGUCGAACGGAAAGGCCCUGCUUUUGUGGGGUGCUCGAGUGGCGAACGGGUGAGUAACACGUGAGUAACCUGCCCUUGACUUUGGGAUAACUUCAGGAAACUGGGGCUCAUACCGGAUAGGAGCUCCUGCUGCAUGGUGGGGGUUGGAAAGUUUCGGCGGUUGGGGAUGGACUCGCGGCUUAUCAGCUUGUUGGUGGGGUAGUGGCUUACCAAGGCUUUGACGGGUAGCCGGCCUGAGAGGGUGACCGGCCACAUUGGGACUGAGAGACGGCCCAGACUCCUACGGGAGGCAGCAGUGGGGAAUAUGGCACAAUGGGCGGAAGCCUGAUGCAGCAACGCCGCGUGCGGGAUGACGGCCUUCGGGUUAUAAACCGCUUUCGCCUGUGACGAAGCGUGAGUGACGGUAAUGGGUAAAGAAGCACCGGCUAACUACGUG
rnacentral:rRNA from 1 species